GGAAAAGAAAGGAAAGGAAAAAAGAAAAGAAAAGAAGGGGAGAGGAAAGAAAGUAAGGAAAAAGAGCAAGGAUAAUGAGAAUAGAAAGGAAAGAAGAGGAAUAGAAAAUCUGUUGAAAAUAAUUACUACUUUGUACGUCCAUGGAAACGCAAGAUCCGCAAUACAAACACAACCUUAAGGCCAAUUCCAAUUUCGAUCCAAAUCCUCAAAAUGCAGAUCUUAAAAAUCCACUCUCCAAUGCUCCUCCAUCGUCGUCAAUGUUUAGUGUUCGGCCUGGGCCCCACCACCGGAGGGCCCAUUCCGAGAUGAGCUUCCGCUUGCCGGAGGACAUGACCAUGAUGAUGAUGGAUCUGUCGCCUUCUUAUCCGAUCAAAGGCGGUGGUGCAGGUGGAGGAGGAGGAGGAGGAGGUG
rnacentral:misc_RNA from 1 species